rnacentral:rRNA from 1 species
AUUGAACGCUGGCGGCAUGCCUUACACAUGCAAGUCGAACGGUAACAGGUCUUCGGAUGCUGACGAGUGGCGAACGGGUGAGUAAUACAUCGGAACGUGCCUAGUAGUGGGGGAUAACUACUCGAAAGAGUGGCUAAUACCGCAUGAGAUCUACGGAUGAAAGCAGGGGAUCGCAAGACCUGGUGCUACUAGAGCGGCCGAUGGCAGAUUAGGUAGUUGGUGGGAUAAAAGCUUACCAAGCCGACGAUCUGUAGCUGGUCUGAGAGGACGAUCAGCCACACUGGGACUGAGACACGGCCCAGACUCCUACGGGAGGCAGCAGUGGGGAAUUUUGGACAAUGGGCGCAAGCCUGAUCCAGCAAUGCCGCGUGCAGGAUGAAGGCCUUCGGGUUGUAAACUGCUUUUGUACGGAACGAAAGGCCCUGGGUUAAUACCCUGGGGUCAUGACGGUACCGUAAGAAUAAGCACCGGCUAACUACGUGCCAGCCGCCGCUGUAA